UACGUAGGGUGCAAGCGUUAAUCGGAAUUACUGGGCGUAAAGCGUGCGCAGGCGGUUUUGUAAGACAGAGGUGAAACUCCCCGGGCCUCAACCUGGGAACUGCCUUUGUGACUGCAAGGCUUGAGUGCGGCAGAGGGGGAUGGAAUUCCGCGUGUAGCAGUGAAAUGCGUAGAUAUGCGGAGGAACACCGAUGGCGAAGGCAAUCCCCUGGGCCUGCACUGACGCUCAUGCACGAAAGCGUGGGGAGCAAACAGG
rnacentral:rRNA from 1 species